rfam:Myotis davidii contig131863, whole genome shotgun sequence.
CAUGAGGAUUUUUUAAAAUCCCCAGUUUUUUUAAAAAAUAUGUUUU